CCGGCACCACAGGAACACGGGUGUCCAGUGCCUUCGAGCGGGCACACAGCUGUUGCAGAGGACGAACGGGGCGAGGUCCACACCAGGGACGUAGAGCGAGGAGCAGUGGCCAAAGCAGAGGCUGAUGUUUCUCAACAUGAUUCCAAAUUUCCUGACCUGGGAGGAAUCUGCAGUUCAGAAGUGCCACGCCUGACUGUCCAUCGGCCCCAUUCCAGGCACUUUCUUCCUUUUUCACCUCCACUAUAAUUAGUGUGUAUCUCACCCAAAGUCUGUGAGCUGUUUGAGGUGAGGGACCAUCUCUACCUCAUUUCCUGCAUCUUCCAAGAUCCAAAAAUUACAGGACGUGAUCACCCAGUGAAACCUGAAUGACAAGAAAAAGCCCAUCAGUAAAGAUCCUGGGAGAAAAUUCUAGGCCUGGUAAUAGCAAAGAGAGAAUGGAAGACAGGGAGGGAGGAAGACAGAGAAAAACAGAGAGACAGAGACCAAUGUGAGACACAUCAACCCAUCCUGACCAAGGGCAGGGAGCCAACCACAACCCAGGUACCUGCCUUUGACCAGGAAUUGAACCCGCAAACCCUUUGGUGUGCGGGCGGACGCUCUAACCACUGAGAACACUGGCCAGGGCUCUUGCAUUAUUAUUUAUUA